GUGAGGAAUAUUGGUCAAUGGGCGAGAGCCUGAACCAGCCAAGUCGCGUGAAGGAAGAAGGAUCUAUGGUUCGUAAACUUCUUUUGCAGGGGAAUAAAGUGCGGGACGUGUCCUGUUUUGUAUGUACCCUGAGAAUAAGGAUCGGCUAACUCCGUGCCAGCAGCCGCGGUAAUACGGAGGAUCCGAGCGUUAUCCGGAUUUAUUGGGUUUAAAGGGUGCGUAGGUGGUUUGAUAAGUCAGCGGUGAAAGUUUGCAGCUUAACUGUAAAAAUGCCGUUGAAACUGUCGGACUUGGGUGUAAAUGAGGUAGGCGGAAUGCGUGGUGUAGCGGUGAAAUGCAUAGAUAUCACGCAGAACUCCGAUUGCGAAGGCAGCUUACUAAGCUACAACUGACACUGAAGCACGAAAGCGUGGGGAUCAAACAGGAUUAGAAACCCGAGUAGUCC
rnacentral:rRNA from 1 species